rnacentral:rRNA from 1 species
CGGGAGGCAGCAGUGGGGAAUCUUAGACAAUGGGGGCAACCCUGAUCUAGCCAUGCCGCGUGAGUGAUGAAGGCCUUAGGGUCGUAAAGCUCUUUCGCCUGUGAUGAUAAUGACAGUAGCAGGUAAAGAAACCCCGGCUAACUCCGUGCCAGCAGCCGCGGUAAUACGGAGGGGGUUAGCGUUGUUCGGAAUUACUGGGCGUAAAGCGCGCGUAGGCGGAUUAGAAAGUCGGGGAUGAAAUCCCGAGGCUCAACCUCGGAACUGCCUCCAAAACUGCUAGUCUAGAGUUCGAGAGAGGUGAGUGGAAUUCCGAGUGUAGAGGUGAAAUUCGUAGAUAUUCGGAGGAACACCAGUGGCGAAGGCGGCUCACUGGCUCGAUACUGACGCUGAGGUGCGAAAGUGUGGGGAGCAAACAGGAUUAGAUACCCUGGUAGUCCACACCGUAAACGAUGAAUGCCAGUCGUCGGGUAGUAUACUAUUCGGUGACACACCUAACGGAUUAAGCAUUCCGCCUGGGGAGUACGGUCGCAAGAUUAAAACUCAAAUGAAUUG